rnacentral:lncRNA from 1 species
UGGAAAGGGAGUGGGUGGUGGGGGGGUGUGUGGCUUUAGGGUCUCUGGCUUAGGAAGCUGAGUCUCCGUAGUGCCAUUCAUACAGAUGGAAUGAGGGAAGAAGCAGUUUCAUGGGAAAGUAGUAAAUUUGAUUGAGUAACAAGAGCUUGGGGGAUCCAGAAGAGAGCUAGGUUUGCAGUUCAGGAGUCCAGGAGAGAGUCAGACUGAAAACAUAAGCCCAUGGAUAGUCAGUCAUUGAAGCCAUGGGAAUGAAGAUCACCUAUGGGAAACACAGAUAGAAGCGAAUGUUACCACAAUGAAGUGUGGUCUAUACAAUUAAUUGCUGCAAAGAGGUCAGAAUAGAGUGAUCUGUGAUAUCUUCCCACUAAUCCCAAGUCAGGAGAGAGAGAGAAUGAAGAUCCAUUGCUGUAGAGGAACAAACUGAACGUGUUGAAGGUCCCGCAAGGCCAAUGUGGCUGGAAUGCAGACACAAAGCCAGGAGGAACAAGAGAUGGGGCUGACAAGAGAGGCAGGAGUCAGAUCUCAUGGGAACUGUCACCUGCAGUGUUGCAGACCUCUUUGAAUACACCAUGAGCACUGUGGAUUCUCGCCUCUGGAGAAUAAAAAUCACAUACAGAAAAGUUCAGACAACUUUAAGGAGUUUGAAGAAUCCCUGCUAGUCGUGGACCCAUCUGGGGUUGGUGGAUUCCUCACCAUGACUCUUUGGAUUCAGAAGUCAUAUAAGAUGCAGUUUAACAAAUAUUGGAAGUCAAAUGAGCAUUCUGCGGAAAAACAGCUUCUUCCAUACAUCAUCUUCUGGAAUAUCCCAGAUCUGGAAGAGGUCACAGGAAUGUCCAUUCAUAGGGAGCUCUACCUGGAGCUCAGAGAUGAUUGAGAGAGGGUAUUCAUCAUGGAUGUGUCCAAGUGAAGGUAGUUUGGAAAGAAACAAAGUUACCCUUUUUUCUCACUAAACAUCUUAGGGUCCCCAUUAGCAGGAAGGAAGGAAGAGGACAGGUGAGCUCCCUGGUAUUGAUGUAUUUACAGAGAACCUAGGCAUCAGCCAUACAUACAGAGGACACUCAUUUGGCCAGAAUUUGGGCUUUGACUUUAAUUAAAUUCCCUUGCUCCCAAUAAGACCUCUCUUAAUCUGAAAACAAUUUGUCAUAAGUGAUGUACCUGCCAAGACCUCAUGGCAAAGAGGCAGGGGGUACCUAGUAAAUGUUGCUGACAAACUCCAGCAUGACUCUAAAGGGACAGUGGCUUCCUUUGGAUGGUCAUGUGCUGCUGCUGGACAUAGCAAUCAGAAGGACAGUGGUGAACACCCAGGAGUGAACCAAGAUGCAAAGUUCAAGUCCGAGGGAAGAAGGGUGCAGUGCGGAAGAAGGGAAGGCAGAUGCUGCAGCCCUGCCUACAAGCAAGGAGGGAGCCAUUAAGAGCCCCAAGCUGGCCAGGCGCAGUGGCUUGCGCCUGUAUUCCUAAUCCCGGCACUUUGGGAAGCCAAGGUGGACGGAUCACCUGAGGUCAGGAGUUUGAGACCAGCUUGACCAACAUGGAGAAACUCUGUCUCUACUAAAAAUACAAAAUUAGCCAGGAGGCUGAGGCAGAAGAAUUGCUAGAAUCCGGGAGGUAGAGGUUGCAGUGAGCCGAGAUCGUGCCAUUGCACUCUAGCCUGGGCAACAAGAGCGAAACUCCAUCUCAAAAAAACAAAAAAGCCCCAAGCCUACUUUAUCAGACAGAGGAAUCAAGUUGUAUUUCCUUCUCACCAAGAGACGCUGGAAAGCUGUAAUCUUACACCAGUGGAGAAAGUGAGAGGAAAAUAAACCCUUUCUAAGGAUGAAUCCUGAAAGCCUUUCACAGACAAUGCUGCUUCUAUAAGAAUGACCUGUGAUGGCUAAGCCAUCACAGUCUUCAUUCCAAUUGACAUUCUAGGUAAACCUGCGCACAACUUUUUCUGUGUAUUUUCCAAAAAAGGAUCAUUUUAUAAAGGCUCA